ACCUUACCUGCCCUUGACAUCCGGAUGACCGGUGGGUAAUGCCGCCCUCUCUUUUUGAGCAUCCGAGACAGGUGGUGCAUGGUUGUCGUCAGCUCGUGUCGUGAGAUGUUGGGUUAAGUCCCGCAACGAGCGCAACCCUUAUCUUUAGUAGCCAGCAUUAAAGGUGGGCACUCUAGAGAGACUGCCAGGGAUAACUUGGAGGAAGGUGGGGAUGACGUCAAAUCAUCAUGCCCCUUAUGGGCAGGGCUACACACGUGCUACAAUGGCGUAAACAAAGGGAAGCGAGACUGCGAAGUUAAGCAAAUCCCAAAAAUAACGUCUCAGUUCGGACUGCAGUCUGCAACUCGACUGCACGAAGCUGGAAUCGCUAGUAAUCGCGAAUCAGAAUGUCGCGGUGAAUACGUUCCCGGGUCUUGUACACAC
rnacentral:rRNA from 1 species